rnacentral:tRNA from 1 species
GGGGUUGUGGCUCAGUGGUAGAGCGCUUGCCUCACACAUGAGGCACCGGGUUCAAUUCUCAGCACCGCA